CGCUUCGUAGCUCAGCUGGUAGAGCGCUUCCCGAGCGGAGGCAUUAAGUUUCUGUCACUGGUUCGAAACCAGCCGAAGCAC